CCCGCCCCACGCUGGCGGGGGUGUCGGGGUGCUGACAGCCGGAGAGCUAAGGUCUCUUACCAGAGCUUGCCCGCUGGGCAAGCUGACCACCGGCACCGAGUAAGGUAGGGAGGAGACGUUGAACCAGGCGUGCGACUGCAGCACAAACUGCUCCUGCGGCCUCUGUAGGGGGCGGGGAUGACAGGCGCUUACCGCAGCCACUCUAGGCCUGGAGAUGGCUGCAUCCAAGCCGGGGACUCCCUGCUUUUGAAUUCCGCUCGGGUUUUACCCCACCCGCGGCCCAAGGCAAAUCUUCCCUAGGCCUGGGUGAACCCGCUCAAACCCAAAGCAAACUCCGGCACCGCCCCACGGGCCCCGCCCCCACGGGCCCCGCCCCGCCCCCCCGCGUCCAGCCCCACCUGGCGGAGGCUGGACAGCCCCAGCAUGGCCUGCACCGUGACCAUGGCCCGCUGCCCGCGCACCAUCUCCCGCAGCUCACACUCCACCACGGUACAGGGCGCCAAGCCGUCGCAGCUCUAAGGGGAUGUGUGGAUUAAAGGUGUGCACCACCACUGGCUCGCUUUGGUAUUUCUUCAAAGGAAAACAAGGAGAGAGACAGACAGAGACACACAGAGAGAAUCCACGUGUCCCCUCUGCCCCAGCCAGCCCAGCAUCUCAUUAGCCCCACUGUCCCUGCCUCCCACCUCCUCUGUCUUCUAUGCCGCCCACUCCCCCGCCCCUGUUGGAGCCCUCUGAGCCUUCUCACCACCAGAACUGGAUCCUGCUGCCCUGGCUUGGGCCCCUGCAGGAAUGCCUGUCUGCGCUCCCGAUUGUGAUGGACAGAGCGAAUGGAAGAAGGGCUGGGAGUGGGUAGCUUCGGGUCCACCUGGGAGGACAAGGGCACAAUGAAUUCGCUUCCAGAGUCUGCACCCACACCCUGCUCUGGCUGUCGGUCUGGAAUCUCUCCCAGCUCCUUCUCUCUCCCAGAGCCUUACCUUGAGGAGCUUGGGGGAUGGCUGUGUGGAGCAAAGGAGGCCCCCCUGCGGCUGCACAUCCAGGAUGUAGAGCAGGUGUGUUCCACCCUGGAGACCCAGCUGUCCAAGUCAUCCUGCUCCUUGUCACCUUCUUCUGCUGCCACCACCAGGGAGGCAGGGAAGGAAUUCCUGCAAGUGUCCAAGCCCCCAAAGUGCAUCUGACUCCCUGACGGACCUCUGGUAGAUCCUCCAGGACCCCUCAAACUUUACCCUUUUAUGAGAUCCUGGGGAUGGGACCCUUCCACAAGCUAAUCAUGCGUUGUACCAAGCUAUACGCCCACCUCCUCCUCCAAACGUAGGCCCCUCUGCCAUUUUCCCUUCCUAUGCCUAGUCUCUCACCCUCGGAGCUCCACUAUGGCUUCAGCUUGGACUGCCACAGGCAACAGCAGGGCCUUACUGUUUGGAUUCUGGCUGUUCUUGCUGGAGCGGAGAAGGUGAGAUGAAGAGGGACAGCAGAAUUUUAGACGGUUAAGGGAGAAGAGUUAAUCCCACCCCAAAGAGCAUACGCUGCUAGUUAGACCCAAGAUUCAGAAACAAGUCAUCGAGGAGGAAAGGGGACAAAGCUCUUGGGCAGGCCUUCCAGUGUGGAAGGGUUUCUGCAGGAGGGUCAGAUGGAGGAAGGGUGGCAGGCAGCUCAGUACCUCCUGAUCUGCAGCUGGAAGGAUACGGACUCUCCAGCUUCCUCUAGGUUCUCCACACUCACCAACAUCGUGAUUCCUAUCUAGAAGAGGGAAAAUCCAAAGUGACCACCCCAGUGUCCACACUGGGCCCAGUCCUCCUGCCUCAAAACCACUAUUAUUACCCACCACCUUCAUACCCCCAGGAUCUUCUCCACCCUGGGAUGUAAUUACGUCAUGGAGCCCUUACCCGGGUGUCCUUUUUCAUGGGGUUGCCCAGCUCACAGAGGGCUACCCUGGACUCAUUCUCCUUCUUCUGAGUGCAGACGAGCCUCUCAAAGCCCUGGAGGAGCACAGACAGGUGGGACAGAGCAGUAUGGACGUGGGGUAUCCUACGUGAUUGCAGAAGGCUUGCCAGACAGUCAUGGGGGAGGGUCCUGGAGGGGUUUCAAAGUGCUCUACUGAUGUAUCAUUUUUACUUUUUUUUUUUUCUCCG